rnacentral:rRNA from 1 species
AUUGAACGCUGGCGGCAUGCCUUACACAUGCAAGUCGAACGGCAGCGGGCCUUCGGGUGCCGGCGAGUGGCGAACGGGUGAGUAAUGCAUCGGAACGUGCCAUUGAGUGGGGGAUAACGUAGCGAAAGUUGCGCUAAUACCGCAUAUUCUGUGAGCAGGAAAGCAGGGGACCGCAAGGCCUUGCGCUCUUUGAGCGGCCGAUGUCAGAUUAGCUAGUUGGUGAGGUAAAGGCUUACCAAGGCGACGAUCUGUAGCGGGUCUGAGAGGAUGAUCCGCCACACUGGAACUGAGACACGGUCCAGACUCCUACGGGAGGCAGCAGUGGGGAAUUUUGGACAAUGGGGGCAACCCUGAUCCAGCCAUGCCGCGUGAGUGAAGAAGGCCUUCGGGUUGUAAA